CUGAGCAGGAAGCCGUGGCUGUUGUUGUUGUUGUGCAGAGAGAGGUUGGGACUAGUCUCAGACCUGGCCCCUUCCUUGCUUUGCCAGCUUAGCUCCUCGGGAGACAUGGCCUCUUUCAGGAGGUGCUUUUAGAUCCAGAUUUGCAUCCCUAACCAUUAAAAAGAAGUUUGCUGGUAGACAGGCAAUUUUCUUUCUGACCAUGCAAAGCACACAGAAUUAUCUCUGGAAAAGAGAAGAUCUGCUGGGUCAAGGUGCCACUGCCAGUGUGUACAAAGCACGUAAAAAGAUAUCAGGGGAACUAGUUGCUGUCAAGGUCUUCAACAAUGCCAGUUACCCGAGACCUCAGGAACUACAGAUAAGAGAGUUUGAGGUGCUGAGAAAGUUAAACCACCAAAACAUUGUCAAACUGUUUGCUGUGGAAGAGAUAGAAAUCAGCAAACAGAAGGUGUUGGUGAUGGAGUACUGCUCAGGUGGAAGCCUGCUGAGCCUGAUAGAAGAGCCAGAAAAUGCCUUUGGCUUAUCAGAGUCUGAGUUCCUUAUAGUGUUGCACUGUGUGGUAUCUGGAAUGAACCAUCUUCGUGAGAAUGGGAUUGUUCACAGAGAUAUCAAACCAGGAAACAUAAUGCGGCUAACUGGAGAAGAUAGGCAGAGUAUAUACAAACUGUGUGAUUUUGGGGCUGCCCGAGAACUGGACGAUGAUGAAAAAUUUGAAUCAGUUUAUGGGACAGAAGAAUACCUGCACCCAGACAUGUAUAAGCGAGCAGUGCUAAAGAAGCCCCAGCAGAAGACUUAUGGGGUAACUGUAGAUCUGUGGAGCAUUGGGGUUACUUUUUACCAUGCAGCUACAGGUAGCCUCCCAUUUAUCCCUUUUGGAGGACCUCGCAGGAACAAGGAAAUCAUGUACAAAAUAACAACUGAGAAACCUACUGGAGCUAUAGCAGGUAUCCAGGAGCAGGAGAAUGGGGCCAUCGUAUGGACAUAUGAGCUACCAAUCACAUGCCAGCUUUCUCUAGGACUGAAGACACCACUUGUUCCCAUCCUUGCAAACAUCCUAGAAGCUGAUCAAGAGGAAUGCUGGAGCUUUGAUCAGUUUUUUGCUGAAACCAAUGACAUCCUACAUAGAACCAUCAUCCAUGUAUUUUCAUUGUCACAAGCCAUCAUGUUCCAUGUCUACAUCCAUCCCUAUAACACAGCCACCAAAUUUUUAGAAGAAGUCUUUAAGCAAACAAAUACAGCUCCCUGUUACCAAGAAUAUUUCUUUGAGGGUCACGCAUAUGAACUGAAGCCCGACCUGCAAGUUUGCCAUUUCCCAAAAACCACGGAAAACUGUCCUCUCAUCAUGAUGAGCAUAGAACCUGAGGAGCCAGUCGGUUUCAGUUACAGAGAUCCAUCUUUGGAGUUUCCCAGAUUCCUCCCAAAAGUUGAUGUCAUUGCAGAUUGCAACACAGCAAAGGGUGUUCUGAGUGCAACUCACCAAACACUGAGGAUAUCACAGUCAUUUCUGAAAAGUCAAGAGCUCAUUCUUAGAGGCUUAUAUGCAUUGAGUGAAACCCUGAAGGUAGAGUGUCUGCAGAUUCUAGAGAAGAGGCAAGCUGUGGUGCCAAUACUCAACUUAAUGCAACAGCUAGAGAUAAAGUUUCUGCUAUUGUAUGAGACUGUUACUGGAGACUGUGAAAUUCAAGAGAUUAAAGGGAUGAUUGAACUGAAAACAAGACUUCAAGCUGUCACUGAAGAGAUCUCUAGACAUGGCCACAGGAUUUCUGAACAACAAACAGUGGUGCAGGGCAUUUUAUCUGAAGUUGGAAAAAAACAGAAUCAAAUGAAAGAAGACAGAAGCAUCCAGAAGAUGGAGGCUUGUCUUGACAAAAUGCAGCUCAUCUACAUCCAGUUCAAGGAGGCCCGGAAAUGCCCACGCCUUAGCUACAAUGAACAGCAGAUCCACAAGCUAGAUAAAUUGAAUUUAGGACAUUCAGCCAAAAAAGUUAUUUCAGUUUUCCACGAUAAUUGUGUACAGCAAUACCAAGCUGCUCUUUUGGGACAUGGAACUAGAAUGAGGAAGGCAUUUGAGAUAUGGAAGCAUUUGAAGAAGCUGAACAGAUCUUUAACUACUUGCAGUGCAGAGAUGUCAGAAUGCCAGAACUGCUUGUUCAAAGUAAACUGACUUUUUUCCUAUUCUAGCAAUUGCACAAAGGAGGAGUGAGAAAUGGUUGGUGUCAAGCCAUUAAAUCACCCUCUUGUGACCAAGUGGAUUAUAUCUCCCUUCCCUCCACACACCCUGAAUGUUUCAAGUCUCAGCUGAAAUCCUUGCCUAGGCAUACUUUGUCUUGAACUUAACAGUAAAAGUACAAACAUGGAGCUCCGACAAGCAAUAUUGAAGACCUGGUUGAAGCAGUACUCUUCACCAUUGCACAGAAAAGCUAUAUGGGGAUGAGGUGGGGGGUGGAGGUUUUAGAUGAGUUGCACCAGAGAAUUCUUCGAGACAAAAUGACAUCUUCUGCACCUACUCCAGUUUGUUUAAAUCAGAAACAUAAAGAUGUGGUGUUUGGG